CAAGAAGAGCGGGUGCAACAAGUACGUAAAAAGCUGGAGGAAGCACUAAUGGCAGACAUUUUGACACGAGCAGCUGAUACAACAAAAGAUAUAGAUGUAAAAAUGGAUAAUAGAGAUGAAGUAUAAAAAGAAAUCAGGUACAGUGGAGAUAACUUUUACACAACUAUGAAUACUUUUUUUCAGGUAACUUGUAGACAUAGGAUCGAAGUUUCCAGGCUGUGACCUGUUUAUCAAGGCUGUUGAACAUUUAAACCAGUAUUCAACCCAUAGCAUAGAGGGGUAAUUCCAUGGCAUUUUGGUUCCCUGGUAUAAGAAGAAUAUAAGCCUGGUGCACCCAGAAGCCAGAUGUUGUUUUUGCACUCAGUAUCAGGACUGUGCACUAGGUUACCGCUUCCGAUACAAGGGUGUGUUGCUUGAGUAAAUUCUUAUAAGUAGAAACAAAAUGUGUUUAAAAUGUACAGUCACUUUCAUUACUUAUACUGUCAGUGCCACAUAAAGGAAAACUUGGUCUUUAAAUGUGAACAAAAGCUAUUUCCCAGUGUUGUUUACUGGCAACUUAACAGUCCAGAAAUCUUGAUGAUUUCUGAGCUACUGGAAUCUUUUAAUUACUUUGUUACAGCUAUUUACUAUUAAACUCCUAAUCCCUGAGUAUUUCCCCUAUAAAACUAAUUAUGGAUAGCUUUAAAGGAUGCUAAGAAAGAACAUUAGUUUAAGAUGUGAAAUUUCAAAUAUGUGCCAUUUUAGAAUCAAAUUGUAAUUUUGAUUUUUUUAAAUUUUGAAUAAAAUAAUUAUUUUCUAAUGGAGUCAUAAAUCUGUUUGUAGAAGUGGUUAUUUUUGCACUGGUACUGUAGUUCUCUGCAAAAAUCAGUUGGAUCAGUAGAACUUGAGUUUCGUCAAGUUGUAAACUCAUUACCUUUUUACAUGUAUGUAGCCAGUGUACAUGUAGACAUGCGUGUGUUGGCUGUGUUCUGUAAAACUGCUUUUUUUUUUUUCCCUAGUGGUUUUAAUUAUUGACUUGAACAAGAUUUUUGAGUACUUUUAACUGACUUAUUCCAGGAGGAACUUUGUGAAAGACAGAGGCACCUUCUCCUUCGGUCUUUCAUUAUAAGAAUAAAUGGACCCAUGCACAUUUUUAUAGCUUUCUAAUAUCAUUAAAACCAAUGCCUUUUUUAGACUUCUAUUUUUGAUGUACAUAUCUUACUUGAAAAGCAAUUUUAUUUUGUGUCCUAUGACUUAAAGUCCUUUUUUAAGUAUCAAAUGUUACCCUUAAUCUAAAGCUGAACUUUUGAUGCCAGGUUGCAAACUUACUGGAAUUAUAUUGCCUGUACUAAAUAUUUGCUUUUCCUGUGUUUUUUAGUAACAAUAGAUCAGAAGAACCAAAUAAUUUCCUAAUUCAAGAUUAUUGUGACUCUAUAUAUAAACAGAUUUUUAUACGUAUGGCUGAAAACACCUGUACAUUCUUCUGUCAUCACUGUAAAGAUAAAUAAAUUAUUAUAAUCUA